UAAGGAAUAUUGCUCAAUGGGAGAAAUCCUGAAGCAGCAACGCCGCGUGGAGGAUGAAGGGUCUAUGACUUGUAAACUCCUGUAAAGAAGGAAAAAAUUCCCAUUUGAUGGGAGAUGAUGGUACUUCUGGAGUAAGCCCCGGCUAACUACGUGCCAGCAGCCGCGGUAAUACGUAGGGGGCAAGCGUUGUCCGGAUUUACUGGGUGUAAAGGGUGCUCAGGCGGAUUUGUAAGUCAGAGGUGAAAUCUUACAGCUUAACUGUGAAACUGCCUUUGAUACUGCAAGCCUAGAGUAUGGAAGAGAGUGAUGGAAUAUCUGGUGUAGCAGUCAAAUGCGUAGAUAUCAGAUAGAACACCAAUGGCGAAGGCAGUCACUUGGUCCAUUACUGACGCUAAAGCACGAAAGCGUGGGUAGCAAACA
rnacentral:rRNA from 1 species